rnacentral:lncRNA from 1 species
AUGUCCAGAGAGCAGCUGGAACAAGAAUUGCUGCCUGCAGGCGCUUCUGUCCACCAGCCAUGCAUCAGUGAGUGGCCCUGGACCCAGCCACUGUGUGUGCACCUGCGGUUCCUGCCAUGGGGAGCAGGAGCCAUUUGGCUGCUCCUCUUCACAGGGCACCACCUGCGAUCUUUCACUGCCCAGGUGGAGUCGCUGGAGCUUAAAGAAGGGGAAGUAAACUCAAGCGCACAUCCUGGUAACCUCUAGCCACGGGUCAAAUUUCACUGACGUCACUUAAAAAUGACCAAAGACCCGCCCCUGUGAAAACCCCGUGGGCAGCCAUUUUGUCUCAAGGAAACUGCCCAGAUCUGAGGUAAAGUAGUUCCGGACGUCUCUUGGUUGUAUAUGGCAUUUCUCUGAAAUAAGCAACUCUUUGAAAAAUAUAAUAGCGCAGAACAAAGUGAAGUACUCCAUGGUGAAGUUGAAGUACACAGUCACCAAAGAAACUUGCCCUCAGGCUGCAAAGUAAAAGCUGGAAAUCCCAGAGCAGCAACUUGGAAAUCCCACCUGCUACAUAUUUGCCUGAGUACUUUAAGGUUCUAUGGAAAAUUGUCUCUCUGUGUAGAUUAACCUUAAACUUGUUCCAUUUUGAUAUGGUAUUUCUUGUUUCAUUUCUCUUGCUUUUCUCCCCUAUUUUAUAAUAAGUUUCAUUUACUCUGUGAUACUUUAAGAAGAGAUAACCUUUCACCAAGGGAUGUUGCUGUGAUAACCUCCAAGUCACAAAUACAGGUUCUAAUCUUACCCCAGGGAAGUCCUGCCUCCCUUGCAGACUGGUUUAUGUCUGAGUGGAUUUGCCUAUCAGCGUCUUUUCUGAUGAGGCAUGUAGCCCAGCAUGGCAGCAAAGAAUCCUGCAGCAGGCAGAUAAAGCUUUCUAAAAAUGUUUUAAUUUUACUUUUAAUGGACAAAUAAUAAUUGUAUAUAUUUACAGGGUACAAUGUGAUGUUUCAAUACAUGCAUAUAUUGUGGAAUGAUCAAAUCAGGCUAAUUAACCAUAUCCAUUACCUUAUAUACUCAUUUCUUUGCAAUGAGAACAUUUAAAAUCUAGUCUUUUAGCAAUUUUGAAAUAUACAAUCCAUUAUUGUUCUAGUGACUACACUGUGCAAUAGAUCACCAGAACUUAUGCCUCAGAUAAAGCUCUGAAUCCUGUGAAUCCUGUUACCACAGAAUAGCAAGUGACCUCAAACCAGCUACUUAACCCCUCUAAACCUCAAUUUCCUCAUCUCUACUGUUGAGACUAUAAUAGCAUCUACCUCACAGGGCUGUUGGAAGGAUUACAUGCUCUCGUGAAGGCUUAGUAAAUCCUAACUCCUACUACAUUAUUUUAUUGAGGUCUCAUUGAAUUAGAUACCCAAGAGAGAGAAAAUGAAAGGGAAGUGCUUAACAUUUGUGACAACCUUAACGUGAUCUGCACAUUUCCUAAAAAUUAUAACACUUGUAUGAUUUCAUUUUCCCCAAGAUAAUACAUUAGUAUUUUGGAAAGUGUAAGAUGAAAAAUUGUUACCCUGAACUGCAAUAUCCUACUUUCUGGAUUCAAAUCCUUAUCUAUCCUGCACUUCUCACUAUACCUUCUCUUAGACCUCAUUACGGUUACCCCAUGGCCUGUGCUUUGGUUCCCAUAUCCUCCCACCUUUCCAGAAACUUUCCAUGUAUCAGUUACCCCUUCUCUCCUCUCAGCUAGGUCCUUCGCAUAAGUAAUCAAGCCCUAGGUCACUCUAGGCCUUUCCAUAUUACGAAAUAAUAUCCCUCCUAUCUCUACUCUAUUUGUCUCUUUUCCUUCAAAGCCGGUCUUUUAACAAAUUACAUACUUACUGCUGCCAUUUUUUUCAAACCUGCGUCACUCUUGAGCACAUUACAAACUGGUUUCUAGCCCAAAUAUUCCAAGUCGCCCUCAUGAAGAUCUCUAGUGGUCUCCACAUUGCUAAAUCCAAAAAACUUUUUCAGUCUUUCUCUCAUUGACCCUCUUGCUGAUGCUGGGCACAAUCCCUCUUGCUUGGACUUUAUUGCCUCUGACACUACAUCUUGGUUUUCCUUCCAAGUCUCUGACUGCUCCUGUUUUGUCUCCAUUUCUGCCUCUUUCUCCUCUGCCUUCCAUUAAAUACUGAAGUUCCCCAAGUCUCAGUCCUAGACCCUCUUCUCACUUUGUAUACUGCACUCUCUCCUGACUAUCAUUAUCAAUCAUGAUUUCAGUUAUGUGAUACCAGCUUACAUCUCCAGCCCAGACCAGAUCUCUGUGUUCCACACCCAGAUGUCCAAUUAUUUAUUUACCACAUCUCCAUUUGGAAGGCAUUCCUCUUCAGUUUGCCUAAGACCAAGUUCAUGAUCUUCCUCAGCAAACCUGCUCCUCUUCCUUUGUUCUCUGUCUCAAUUAAUGAUACCAUUAUCCAGCCAGCAUAUAUCAUUCUUGAUGCCCUCUUCUCCCUCACUUACCAUACUUAAUUCAUCACUAGGGCCUAACUCUUUCAUUUCCUAAAUGUCUCUCAAAACAAUCUUGACUCCAAUAUUUCCAUAGUCAUCACCAUAGGAUAAUCACCGUAGCAUCAAUCUAUGCUGCCAUCAUCUCUUUAUUCCCUGGGUUUUCUCUCCAUUCACUCUGCUUUCCCAGCCCCAAUUCCUUUCUCCACAUUGCAGCCAGUCCCACCAUGUCCUUCCUUACGACUUGCCAAUAACUUCCUAUGGAUCACAGGAAAAUGAUCAAAAUCUUUAACACUGUGUUGCAAAGACAGCCUUUCCACAGUAUCUGUUUUCUCCUUCUAUCUCACAAAAAUCUUUCGUUAUUGGGACAGCAAUAUAUCUCAGACACAAAUUUAAAAAAAGAUAAUUCCUAACCUCCUUUACAGAGAGGAAUAACCUAUGCGAUAUAAGCAGAAGUUGUUAAAUGGAGUACCCAGGAAAAUCCUUUUACCCUUGCCCUUUGGGUUCUUCAUGUUUGAAAUAUGUGUCCGGAGCUGCGCGCCCCGGCCAUAGCGAAUGAUAGCUGAUGAUUGGGAACGCCUGAGCUCUAUUCAUUUCCACCCCACGCCUUCUCCCUAUCUUUGCCUUUUCUCCCUGUAUUAAUACUUCAUAAAAGAUGGCGCUCUUCCUGCUUCUUCUUCACCUAUUUUUCCCGCGCCCGCGAAAAUUACUACCUGACAGCGCAGGUGCAACAUGACGUUCGACCAGAGAAACCAAUACCUACUUGGUCACGCCCUCUGCGAUGAGAUCAUCUCCACCUCUGGCCCAACCCCUUUCCCUCCAAGUGUAUAUAAGGCACUGCAUUACCGCCAUUAAAAGAGACUUGAUCAGAGCACUGUCUUGUCUCCAUUUCUCGUAUCUCUUGUUCCCCAAAUUCCCACCCCCUCCUCCAGGGCCUGCUUCGACUAUCCCGCGGGCCGGGAUAAAUAUGGUUGUGAUCACUGGCACUCCAGUCUCCACCUUGAGACCUUGAAGGUGGAGGCUAGAACCAGAAAUGGUAAGGCAGAAAGAUGAAAGAGGCGUGGGUUCCAGUGACUUGGGAGAACCAUGCUACAAGACUUGACUUUCUACUUCUGGGCUUCUUCUGUGCAAGAGAACAAAAUCUUUACAUAAUACAUUCACUAGUUGGAUUUCUGGCACUAGGAGUUGCAGUCAGUUUCUAAUUGAUACACACAAGAUUUGCAAGGCCCUACAUAGUCUUGUCUCUGCUCUACCUCCCAAGCUGCUUCUUGCCCCAUUGUCACCUGUAUGCUCUUCAGUACAGCCACA